CACGUAGGGGGCAAGCGUUGUCCGGAAUCAUUGGGCGUAAAGAGCGCGUAGGCGGUCCGGUAAGUCCGCUGUGAAAGUCAAGGGCUCAACCCUUGAAUGCCGGUGGAUACUGUCGGGCUAGAGUCCGGAAGAGGCGAGUGGAAUUCCUGGUGUAGCGGUGAAAUGCGCAGAUAUCAGGAGGAACACCAAUGGCGAAGGCAGCUCGCUGGGACGGUACUGACGCUGAGGCGCGAAAGCGUGGGGAGCAAACAGG
rnacentral:rRNA from 1 species